rnacentral:rRNA from 1 species
AGUGAACGCUGGCGGUAGGCCUAACACAUGCAAGUCGAACGAGGGGCGGGCGGGUGAGGCAUACAUCGCAAUCUACUCUGUCGUGGGGGAUAACGUAGGAAAAGUUACGAUACUACCUCAUACGAUUGAAUGAGCCGAUGUCGGAUUAGCUAGGUGGCGGGGUAAAGGCCCACCAAGGCGACGAUCCGUAGCUGGUCUGAGAGGAUGAUCGGCCACACUGGAACUGAGACACGGUCCAGACUCCUACGGGAGGCAGCAGUGGGGAAUAUUGGGCAAUGGGCGCAAGCCUGAUCCAGCCAUGCCGCGUGAGUGAAGAAGGCCUUCGGGUUGUAAAGCCCUUUUGUUGGGGAAGCGGUACCCAAAGAAUAAGCACCGGCUAACUUCGUGCCAGCCGCCGCGGUAAUAC